UGGGGCAUAGCCAAGCGGUAAGGCAACGGUUUUUGGUACCGUCAUUUCCCAGGUUCGAAUCCUGGUGCCCCAGCCA
rnacentral:tRNA from 2 species